rnacentral:tRNA from 1 species
UCCCUUUUGGCUCAGCUGGUAAAGAAUCCACCUUCAGUGUGGAGAACCUGGGUUCUAUCCCUGGAUUGGGAA